rnacentral:tRNA from 1 species
GGGUCGGUACCGAAGUGGUCAAACGGGCGUGGCUGUAAACCACGUGGCUCUGCCUUCGGGGGUUCGAAUCCCUCCCGGCCCACCA